GGUAGCUCAAUGGCAGAAUACCUGUUUUGCAUUCAGGAGGCGGUUCUGGGUUCAAUCCCCAGCAUCUCCU